AACGAACGCUGGCGGCGUGCCUAACACAUGCAAGUCGAACGUGAUUGGAAGCUUGCUUCCAUGAAAGUGGCGCACGGGUGAGUAACGCGUAGAUAAUCUACCUGAUGGAUCGGGAUAACACUUCGAAAGGGGUGCUAAUACCGGAUAAGCCCACGGAGUCCUUGGACACUGCGGGAAAAGGGGGGGACCUUCGGGCCUUCCGUCAUCAGAUGAGUCUGCGUACCAUUAGCUAGUUGGUGGGGUAAAGGCCUACCAAGGCGACGAUGGUUAGCUGGUCUGAGAGGAGGAUCAGCCACACUGGAACUGAGACACGGUCCAGACUCCUACGGGAGGCAGCAGUGGGGAAUUUUGCGCAAUGGGGGAAACCCUGACGCAGCAACGCCGCGUGAGUGAUGAAGGCCCUUGGGUCGUAAAGCUCUGACAGAGGGAAAGAAAUGCGGGGGGGCUAAUAUCCCUUUUGCUUGACGGUACCCUCAAAGGAAGCACCGGCUAACUCCGUGCCAGCAGCCGCAGUAAAAC
rnacentral:rRNA from 1 species